GAUGAAAACUUAUCAACUAAAAUAACAACAGAAACACAACUAAGUGACCCAUAAGCAUUUUUCAUUCUUUUUUUUGUUAUUAUCUUAUGUAUGUGCAGAGGAGAUUACAUUUUUGACCGAGGGUGAUGAUCCUAACGAUGAUGAUGAUGAUGUAUUAAAGAAGCUUUUUCACCCUAAUCUCAAGCUAUUAAUUGUGACACAAGGUUCAGAGGGUUGUAGAUAUUACACCAAGAAAUUCAAAGGCUGGGUGGCAGGUGUUAAAGUUAACCCCAUUGACACAACUGGGGCCGGUGAUGCAUUUGUUAGUGGGAUUCUCUACAGCAUUUGCUCAUAAUCAAUAUGGAGCUUGACGCUGCCAAUGUAAUUUGGUUAUUCAUUAAUAUUUUAGAUUAUCCCAUCUUUAAGUAUUAAGUGUAAUUUGUGACAUCAGUUAAUGAAAGAGAUCCAUGUAACAUUAGGAUGGUCAUCUUAUUUUUUUGGGUAUCUUUUUAUUGAGAUAGUGAGAUAUUGGCCAAUAAUGUUGAAAAAUAACAUCCAAUUUUAUAGGUAUCAUGUAAUGAAUAUUAUGUUUAUUUAUAUGAUUUUUGGCCUUUUUUUU